UGGAAUCAACGAAGAGUAAAGGAAGCAGUCCUUCAAGCCGAGCCAGGGCGGCAAAAAGCCACCUGCCAUCACCGCCACAAUUCCGUCGGCCACAGAAUUUUCCAAUUGCGUCAUGGCGUUUUCAAUUCUUGUUUAUUGUUGAAAAUGAUUGAGAGAGAGAGAAGCCGAGUCGCGUUUUCUUUCUGAAGCAUCGAGUCAGUUUUUGGGGAUCUCUCUGUAUCUGCGAUUCGUUGUGGAUAUGGCGCAGAUUGGUCAAGCCGAGGUCUGUGUGCCGAGGUCUUUGCAAGUAUGGCAAGCUUUGAUCGAUUGGCUCUCUUUCUUUGUUCAUAUAAUUGCUCAGAUCGUGCGUGGUGCUCCUUCUUGGGCUCAGAUUUUGUCCUAUGUCGGUGUUAGAUUGCCGCUUCUUGCCUCGUCUGCUCCCUCUUUUAAGCCCUUGCCGAUUGCUGAGAUUCCUCUCCAUCAGCUUUCAGCUAAGAAACUUAGCCCUCCCACUGAUGGGGAUGACGGUGGAAGUCGAGAUUGCUCGCUGGAAAAGAUUACGGUUGUUCUUGAUUUGGAUGAAACCUUGGUUUGUGCAUAUGAAACAUCCAGUUUGCCAGCCGUUUUUCGCACUCAGGCAACAGAAGCUGGCUUGGAUUGGUUUCAGCUAGAAUGUGUGUCCUCGGACAAGGAAUAUGAAGGAAAGCCAAAGAUCAGUCAUGUGACUGUAUUUGAACGUCCUGGAUUGCACGAGUUCUUGAGUCAGGCUGCUGAAUUUGCUGAACUCAUUUUAUUCACUGCUGGUCUUGAAGGAUAUGCUAGACCACUGGUCGACCGAAUCGAUUCAGAGGGAAGAUUUAGCCUUCGACUUUAUCGACCAUCCACAGUUAGCACAGAAUACAGAGAACACGUAAAAGAUCUAUCGUGUUUACGAAGAGAUCUCUCCCGAGUUGUUAUAAUCGAUAACAACCCAUUUAGUUUCUUACUGCAACCAUUGAAUGGAAUCCCAUGCCUUCCAUUCUCUCCUGCACAGCCUUCUGAUAAUCAGCUUUUAGACGUCCUCCUCCCGCUCCUCAAACACCUCGCCCUGGAAAAAGACGUCCGACCCGUUCUAUACGAAAAAUUUCACAUGCCUGAAUGGUUUCAGAUCCAUGGAAUUCCUUAGCAUGAGAAAAUUACAAUACAGAUAGUAUCCAAGCAUGCUGAGUGGAGAGCAUGCUAUGAAAUCAAUCUCCACAUUCUUUCCAUUUAGAGCUUAGGUGAUGGAGUAAGAAGAAAUUCAUGAGAUAUGUCCACAAUGGGUCACCGACUGGCGACCAGCAUAGUUUGUCCGAGUGCAAGCCUUCAGUUAUAGCUUCAAAAUUACGUCGUCUGCAAAUUGAAUGCUGCUAUACUCCUCUUUACUUCAUAGUAGUUAAUGUAGUUUAACAUUAUUUGGCAGCACUUCAGUGUCAUAGCCACUUGGUCUUGUUUAUUGGUAUGUGCACUUAAAAGGAAGAACUGGUAGCGAGGACUUGUUUUGAGGAGCAACAGAGAGGGAGAAGCCGCCAUUUGUGAUUGGAUAAGUUCAGACUUGGGGAAGCUAAUCAAGCAAUGGCGAUGCAGCUCAGCCAUGUGUAUUACGGUACACCCACAACCCGACGACCAACACUGCCGCUCACUGGCUGGAGAACCACCGUAUCUUAGGUUAGAGCUGUCGCAGGAAAUGAUCAGGAGCUUCUCAAAUCCGACAAGGUUCAGGCAAGUAGGCCAAAGGAGACAUUGACGGCCAUGGAUUUCGAGGGUAGGGGUAUGUGAGUUGGAGAAUGCUAGAGUAGAGUUAGAGGGUAGGGGCAUGUGUAGCUGUUUCGUGUUGGACGAGGAUCAAUUGUGUAAUCGCCCAAAUCCACUAGUAGAUAUUCUCUGCUUAUAACCGUCAGCCUGGCUUUAAAACCUG